AGGAGGUGUCGGGGUCGGCGGGAUGGUGGUGUGUCCCGCCGUGGCGGCUCCGGCUGUGCGGCGCUCGCUGGGGCAGUGCCGGCCCCUGCGCUGCGGGGCGGGUAUGGGCUGGGCUCGGCUCGGCUCCCGCGCCUGCCCGACCACCCCACAACCUGUCGGGGUUCCGCCUCCGGCUGCCCGGCCCCGCGGGUGGCAGCGCCCGGCUCGGACGGGGGCCGGGCCCGGCAGAGCUCGAGUCACCGUUGUCUCUCCAGCAGGUCCGCGGGGCACAUGGGCUCUGUCCGGCGGCGGGGGGUCCCUCCGGCUGUGCAGCACGCGGGCGAGCCUGGAGGGCAUCAACAGGCCUGUCAUCGACCGCAUCAUCCGGGUGGACCACGCCGGGGAGUACGGGGCAAACCGCAUUUACGCAGGGCAGAUGGCCGUCCUGGGGAGAUCGAGCGUGGGACCCAUCAUCCAGCAAAUGUGGAAUCAAGAAAAAGACCACCUAAAAAAGUUCAAUGAACUAAUGGUUGCGUACAGAGUUCGACCUACUGUCUUACUGCCUUUUUGGAAUGUAGCAGGUUUUGUUUUAGGGGCUGGAAGUGCUUUGCUUGGGAAGAAAGGAGCAAUGGCUUGCACAGUGGCAGUGGAAGAGAGUAUAUCAGAUCACUACAACAACCAGAUCCGAACGCUUGUGGAAGAAGAUCCAGAAAAGUACAAAGAACUAUUGCAGGGAGAAGAGCUCAGCACCUUCUUCACUUCACCUCCUCAGGCAGCUGCGGAGAGCAGUGAGGUCACCCCUCAGCCUCCUUUUCUCCAAACUAGACCAGCCCAAAGUCUUUAGCUGCUCCUCACAGGACAUGGCUUCCAGCCCUUUCACCAGCUUUGUUGUCCUCCUCUGAACACAGUCAAGCAUCUUCACAUCCUUCUUAACCUGUGAGGCCCAGAACUGCACACAGUACUCCAGGUCUUUGAGAAGUUUUUGAGAGACAUGGGCCUCAGAUGCCUCCAAUGGUCAGCAGCUUAUAGUUUUGUAUACUGGCUGCCUUGAUUUCUCUGUGAAGUAGACUUGCUAAUUAACUGCUAUUUUUAAAGAUAAUAAAGCAAUUUCGGGAUGAUGAACGGGAGCACCAUGACAUUGGCAUUGAGCACGAUGCAGAAAUGGCACCAGCUUAUUCAGUUUUGAAGACAGCUAUACAACUUGGAUGCAAAGCUGCAAUUUUUUUAUCAGAAAGAAUUUAGUUAUAUUUUCUAUGAUGUCUGUGGCAAUAAACUGUGACAUGAAAGUAUAUGGAAACUGUGGAGGACUAAUAGUUAUUUUAUACAGCCUUUUAAGAUUUGCUUCACCGAGCACCUGAUUCAGCCAUCCUUUGUCACAUCGAGUACCUGUGCGAAAGGUAUCAAUGUUAAAGUUGGUUGAGGUAAAUGUAAAUGAAGAUGUCGUAAUUGGGUCUGUAUGAACUAAACCUCCUUAUUCUGAUACUGUUCACAAGGUGGCAGCAAAAUAUGUAUGUGUAUACAUGAUUUAUAGAUAUAAUAUGUGCGUAUAUAUACACACAUCAAAAUGAUAAAUAGGCUCUCUGUUGCCUCCAAAUUUAUAUGUACUUGAAAUAAGCUGGAGCUCAUUCAGCUCAUUUUAAAGUGAUUAAUACUGACUAAGUAGGAUAUUUUUGAGUUGUAUUUUCAGGGUAAGUGAAGCACUAGUAAGUAUUUCUUUUCAGUCUGUCUUGAAUAAAGAUUGGUAUUAUAAGAUUUUCAUU